rnacentral:rRNA from 1 species
AACGAACGCUGGCGGCAGGCUUAACACAUGCAAGUCGAACGCUCGUAGCGAUACGAGAGUGGCAGACGGGUGAGUAACACGUGGGAACAUACCCUUUGGUUCGGAACAACGCGUGGAAACGCGCGCUAAUACCGGAUAAGCCUCUGGAGUGAUCCGGGGGGAAAGAUUGAUUGCCGAAGGAUUGGCCGCGUCCGAUUAGCUUGUUGGUGAGGUAACGGCUCACCAAGGCAUCGAUCGGUAGCUGGUCUGAGAGGAUGGCCAGCCACAUUGGGACUGAGACACGGCCCAAACUCUACGGGAGGCAGCAGUGGGGAAUAUUGGACAAUGGGCGCAAG